rnacentral:rRNA from 1 species
CCUCGGGGGGCAGCAGUGGGGAAUAUUGGACAUUGGGCGAAAGCCUGAUCCAGCCAUGCCGCGUGUGUGAAGAAGGCCUUCGGGUUGUAAAGCACUUUCAGUGGGGAAGAAAGCCUUGGGGCUAAUACCCUCGAGGAAGGACAUCACCCACAGAAGAAGCACCGGCUAACUCCGUGCCAGCAGCCGCGGUAAUACGGAGGGUGCGAGCGUUAAUCGGAAUUACUGGGCGUAAAGCGCGCGUAGGCGGUCUGAUAAGCCGGUUGUGAAAGCCCCGGGCUCAACCUGGGAACGGCAUCCGGAACUGUCAGGCUAGAGUGCAGGAGAGGAAGGUAGAAUUCCCGGUGUAGCGGUGAAAUGCGUAGAGAUCGGGAGGAAUACCAGUGGCGAAGGCGGCCUUCUGGACUGACACUGACGCUGAGGUGCGAAAGCGUGGGUAGCAAACAGGAUUAGAUACCCUGGUAGUC